rnacentral:rRNA from 1 species
CCUACGGGGAGCAGCAGUGAGGAAUAUUGGUCAAUGGGCGGAAGCCUGAACCAGCCAAGUAGCGUGCAGGAUGACGGCCCUACGGGUUGUAAACUGCUUUUAUACGGGAAUAACGCGCCUUACGUGUAGGGCUUUGCAUGUACCGUAUGAAUAAGGACCGGCUAAUUCCGUGACAGCAGCCGCGGUAAUACGGAAGGUCCGGGCGUUAUCCGGAUUUAUUGGGUUUAAAGGGAGCGUAGGCCGCAAGUCAAGCGUGCUGUGAAAUGUCCGGGCUCAACCCGGGCCUUGCAGCGCGAACUGGCGUGAGUGAGUCCGCGGAAAGCAGGCGGAAUUCGUCGUGUAGCGGUGAAAUGCUUAGAUAUGACGAAGAACCCCGAUUGCGAAGGCAGCUUGCUGCAGCGGAACUGACGCUGAUGCUCGAAAGCGCGGGUAUCGAACAGGAUUAGAUACCCGGGUAGUC